rnacentral:rRNA from 1 species
GACGAACGCUGGCGGCGUGCUUAACACAUGCCAGUCGAACGGAAAGGCCCUGCUUUUGUGGGGUGCUCGAGUGGCGAACGGGUGAGUAACACGUGAGUAACCUGCCCUUGACUUUGGGAUAACUUCAGGAAACUGGGGCUAAUACCGGAUAGGAGCUCCUGCUGCAUGGUGGGGGUUGGAAAGUUUCGGCGGUUGGGGAUGGACUCGCGGCUUAUCAGCUUGUUGGUGGGGUAGUGGCUUACCAAGGCUUUGACGGGUAGCCGGCCUGAGAGGGUGACCGGCCACAUGGGGACUGGGAUACGGCCCAGAAUCCUACGGGAGGAAGCAGUGGGGAAUAUUGCACAAUGGGCGGAAGCCUGAUGCAGCAACGCCGCGUGCGGGAUGACGGCCUUCGGGUUGUAAACCGCUUUCGCCUGUGACGAAGCGUGAGUGACGGUAAUGGGUAAAGAAGCACCGGCUAACUACGUG